rnacentral:rRNA from 1 species
GACGAACGCUGGCGGCGUGCUUAACACAUGCAAGUCGAACGGAAAGGCCCUGCUUGCAGGGUCCUCGAGUGGCGAACGGGUGAGUAACACGUGGGUGAUCUGCCCUGCACUUCGGGAUAAGCCUGGGAAACUGGGUCUAAUACCGGAUAGGAGCCAUUUUUAGUGUGAUGGUUGGAAAGUUUUUUCGGUGUAGGAUGAGCUCGCGGCCUAUCAGCUUGUUGGUGGGGUAAUGGCCUACCAAGGCGGCGACGGGUAGCCGGCCUGAGAGGGUGGACGGCCACAUUGGGACUGAGAUACGGCCCAGACUCCGACGGGAGGCAGCAGGGGGGAAUAUUGCACAAUGGGCGCAAGCCUGAUGCAGCGACGCCGCGGGGGGGAUGACGGCCUUCGGGUUGUAAAAUCAUUUCGCUAGGGACGAAGCGUUUUGUGACGGUACCUAGAGAAGAAGCACCGGCUAACUACGUG